rnacentral:lncRNA from 1 species
GGCAACCCUCUGGUUUCCUUUCUACUGUGUGGAAGCUUUGUGUUUUUGCUCUUUGCAAUAAAUGUUGCUAUUGUUCAUUUUUUGGGGCCACGCUGCUUGCAUGAGGUGUAACACCGCGAAGGUCUGUAGCUUCACUCCUGAACCAGCGAUCCCACGAGCCUAUUGGGAGGAAUGAACAACUACAGACACGCCGCCUUACGAGCUGUAACACACACUGGGAAGGUUUGCAGCUUCAUUCCUGAGCCAGUGAGACCACGAAUCAACCAAAACAAAGAAACUCCGAACACAUCUGAACAUCAGAAGGGACAAACUACAGACGUGCCACCUUAGGCGUGCUGUGAGCUGUACCACUCACCACGAGGGUUCUCGGCUUCAUUCUGGAAGUCAGUGAGACCAAGAACCCACCAAUUCCGGACACAACAUCAGUGUGAUCACUGUGCCUGGAAAUGGCCAAAUGUGCUAAUGGGAUAUAAGCAGACCUCUGACAGCAUCUGAUCACCUCUAAUGUGGUGGUAUUAGGCUGGACAUGAUCAAUUGCCAAAUUAUUAGCUGUAUAGGCAAUUAUCGCUGGAACAGAUGAGAGAAAGAAGAAAUCUGAUCACAGAAGCAUCUGCUCAGGUUGCCUUACUGUAAAUUUCACAGGGACAGAUUUGCCCCAGUUCAUUGUCACCUGUGAUUGGGUAAGUCCACCUACUUCUGGGGUUUGGUGUAAAGAAGACACUUGCCCAGAGAUAUAAAUCACAUUCUACAAUAAUGCAUUAUCAGUGUAAAAAAAAGGUGAAUUUUGAUCUCCAUCUACUUUACUCUCUAUAUAUUUCUUAAUUACACGAGUACUCAGGUGAGGAAAUGGAGUGCUAUUUAUUGGGCCUUCAUGAACCUCAAUAAACAAUAAUAAUUAACAUUUAUUGAGUGCUAUGUGCCAGGAAGAAGUCUAAGUACUUUACAAAAAUGGUCUUACUGCAUCUUUUCAACAGCCCUAUGACAUAGGUCCUUUUUGCACUUUUUAAAUUGUGGAGACUGAGGUACAGAGAGGUUAACUAUCUUGUCCAAGACCACACUGCUGUAAUAUGAAAUGAGGAUUUUAACACAAAGUCAAUCUAGUUAUGAAGUCUAUACCUUUAACCACUAGAUUAAAGACAACUGAAGUGAGAGCAAGAAGAUUUACAAAGGCUUCUGUAGCCAGAGGAUAAUGACUGUACCACAGAAGCCACAGGAUAGGUUUUUUAGUGAGGACCAUGAUGGAGAAUUAGAACUUACAGGAUCAGUGAGACCCAAGGUAGGCUGAGAUCACAAUGAGAACCACAGGGUUUUAACCCAGCUGAAAGAACAAACCAGAAGUUUGCUAGCCACACCUCAGUGGACAGUAGUGUAAAGAGACUCACAGACCCGACCAGACCAGAAAUCUAUCACCUGGGACCAGAGAAGUCUGAGAGGGGAGUUACAAGGAUAAUCAAAAGGUCUUCAGGAGGCUCCAAGACCAGCAGGCAUAUAAGCAAAACGGAACAUAGACACUGGAAGCAACUUUCCUGUGUUAGUAAGCCAGCAGCAUCCUCACACCAUGCGACUUUACAACAACUGCUGCCCUAUCCUCAGAGCCUCUGCCCGGCAUGGACUGGGGCACUCAGAAUGGUAUCCCUUGAUAUAAUGCAUAUACGAUGGCACUGUCUACCACCUCCUCAUGCCUAAACAUUUCUCAGUUUUCAGAUUUAGAGUCUCAAAACUGUUUCCACAGUAUUGAACUCCCAGUUUUCUAAACCCCAACACGUUUCUUUCUUGAUCACGGAUCGUCUUUUCGGAUGACAGCAUCCUGGCUUGAAUCCAGAGCAAAAAACCAUUGAAGUCAAAUUAAAACAUAAUUUUAUGAUGACA